rnacentral:lncRNA from 1 species
AAGGGUUUUAUUAAAUUAAUUAAAUAUCUAAUGUAUUGCUUUAUACAAUAAAAUUAACAUGUCACUUGAAAUAAGGGCUAAUUUAAACAUAGAUAAAAACAUAGGGGUUUAUUUGGGUACAACUAAACUAGUUCAAGGACUAUCUUAAGAUUUUAACCAUUUGCUGAACAUUGUGCCAUUGGAAGACCUUGACUUUUGUGGGUAAAAUAUACAAAUAAAGAAGACUGUCAUUUC